AAGUAGGGAAGAAGAGCUAAGUUCGCGCCGUCCUGGCGGCAGACUCAAACCGCGACAUCGUGUCGCUUCGUCUGCACUAGUACAUCCUGUACAUCGCAACGCUGUUCUGACCCGCAUCCUGCGGG
rnacentral:sRNA from 1 species